GGGCGCUUAGCUCAGCGGGGAGAGCGCCGCCCUUACAAGGCGGAGGUCACAGGUUCGAGCCCUGUAGCGCCCA
rnacentral:tRNA from 1 species